GACGAACGCUGGCGGCGCGCCUAACACAUGCAAGUCGAACGAGAGAGAGGAAGCUUGCUUCCUCAAUCGAGUGGCGAACGGGUGAGUAACGCGUGAGGAACCUGCCUCAAAGAGGGGGACAACAGUUGGAAACGACUGCUAAUACCGCAUAAGCCCACAGGUCGGCAUCGACCAGAGGGAAAAGGAGCAAUCCGCUUUGAGAUGGCCUCGCGUCCGAUUAGCUAGUUGGUGAGGUAAUGGCCCACCAAGGCGACGAUCGGUAGCCGGACUGAGAGGUUGAACGGCCACAUUGGGACUGAGACACGGCCCAGACUCCUACGGGAGGCAGCAGUGGGGAAUAUUGCACAAUGGGGGAAACCCUGAUGCAGCGACGCCGCGUGGAGGAAGAAGGUCUUCGGAUUGUAAACUCCUGUUGUUGAGGAAGAUA
rnacentral:rRNA from 1 species